UGGGGAAUUUUGCACAAUGGGCGCAAGCCUGAUGCAGCGACGCCGCGUGAGGGAUGAAGGCCUUCGGGUUGUAAACCUUUUUCGCUCAUGGUCAAGCCGCAGCUUUGGGUUGUGGUGAGGGUAGUGGGUAAAGAAGCCCCGGCUAACUACGUGCCAGCAGCCGCGGUAAUACGUAGGGGGCUAGCGUUGUCCGGAAUCACUGGGCGUAAAGGGUUCGCAGGCGGAAAUGCAAGUCAGGUGUAAAAGGCAGUAGCUUAACUACUGUAAGCAUUUGAAACUGGAUAUCUUGAGAAGAGUAGAGGUAAGUGGAAUUUUUAGUGUAGCGGUGAAAUGCGUAGAUAUUAAAAAGAAUACCGGUGGCGAAGGCGACUUACUGGGCUCAUUCUGACGCUGAGGAACGAAAGCGUGGGUAGCAAACAGG
rnacentral:rRNA from 1 species